rnacentral:rRNA from 1 species
UACGAGGGGGGCGAGCGUUGUUCGGAAUUAUUGGGCGUAAAGGGUGCGUAGGCGGUUCCGCAAGUCCUGUGUGAAAUCUUCGGGCUCAACUCGAAGUCUGCACGGGAAACUGCGGGGCUUGAGUGUGGGAGAGGUGAGUGGAAUUCCCAGUGUAGCGGUGAAAUGCGUAGAUAUUGGGAGGAACACCAGUGGCGAAGGCGGCUCACUGGACCGGUUCUGACGCUGAGGCGCGAAAGCGUGGGGAGCAAACGGG